UUCUCUUUGUUCCAUCAAAGUGGAACAAAGUGGAGCAGAAGAGAAGUGCAAUCAACAUUAAGCAGUAUUGUUUGGUGAGUAGAUAGAAAAAUGCUAUCUCAUGGUUUCCUCUUCGCUGUUAUCCAUCUGUCAGCAUACGUCCACUGUAAAGUCCGCGUGGAGCAGCAGCCAGCAGCAGUGCAUCAAACGAUUGGAGAAAAUACCACCAUGUUCUGCAAGAUUUAUGCAGAUGGAGGAGAGAUUAUUUCCAUGUGCGAUAUAGAGUGGUACAGGAGGAGCGAGGACAGAUGGCCAGAGGUCAAACAACUCUCGCAGUUCAGAGGACGAUUUCAUGAGUUCAUGAACAACAGCCGGUGGAGUGGUAGCCUCUCGCUGACCACACUUGAACUGAAUGACACUGGCAAGUACUAUUGCAAUUACAUCUGCUGGAUUGAUGGGGGAAUAUCUCAGCAUAAUGGAUUUGGCACAAACCUCAGUGUCCAUGAAGAGGCUACUGUAACAACAGCGACUGUUAUAAAAACUUCAGUUCAUACAGAUGCAUUUACUGAGGAAACCACAGAUGACGCCCUUUACACCUUCCUCCUGUUUCUACCAUUAUCAUUAAAGCUGCUCGUAACUGUGUUUUUAUGCUUUUAUAUGUUGUGUUCAUUUUAUGUCCAUUGUUACUGCCUGUUAUCAUUUACUCAUUUACAGAAUUGGAUUUUUUACUAAACCUCUCCAUCUCCUGCCAGUUUUACUCCAGGGUUUGUUCAUCAUAACAGAUAUGCUGUUUUUUCCACUGGCGUCAGGUGACUGGUUUCCAUUUACUGCGAACUUAAGACCACCUACGGGCUCAUGAACACCUACCAUGAAGGAUGUGUCAAACUGUUUCUUCAGUCAAUUCACAAGAAAUGGAAAAACUGAUUAUGAUAACCUGUGAAAACAAUAGGCAAUGUUAAAUGUGUACAUACAUACAUGCUUGUAUAAGUCAACAGAACAGAAGCGUAAAGCCUCACUAAAAAAGCUUGUUGCUUCAAUUAAAUAAUGACCUCUAA